rnacentral:rRNA from 1 species
GACGAACGCUGGCGGCGUGCUUAACACAUGCAAGUCGAACGGAAAGGCCCUGCUUUUGUGGGGUGCUCGAGUGGCGAACGGGUGAGUAACACGUGAGUAACCUGCCCUUGACUUUGGGAUAACUUCAGGAAACUGGGGCUAAUACCGGAUAGGAGCUCCUGCUGCAUGGUGGGGGUUGGAAAGUUUCGGCGGUUGGGGAUGGACUCGCGGCUUAUCAGCUUGUUGGUGGGGUAGUGGCUUACCAAGGCUUUGACGGGUAGCCGGCCUGAGAGGGUGACCGGCCACAUUGGGCCUGAGAUACGGCCCAGACUCCUACGGGAGGCAGCAGUGGGAAAUAUUGCACAAUGGGCGGAAGCCUGAUGCAGCAACGCCGCGUGCGGGAUGACGGCCUUCGGGUUGUAAACCGCUUUCGCCUGUGACGAAGCGUGAGCGACGGUAAUGGGUAAAGAAGCACCGGCUAACUACGUG